AUGGUGACCAUGGCGAGCGCUACUCUGCUUUUCUACUGCAUUUUUGGUGAUGAUGAUUUUGCUACAACCGUAAUCUCUUUUUGCUACCAUGGUCUUCAUUUUUUGCUGGAACCAGUCAUUUUUUUGCUACCAUAUUGUGUGUUAUGCUGGAACCAGCUUACCAAUCUGCUACCCCCAUCUCCAGUUUUUGCGGCGGCGAGGGGCGGAAACUGGCGGCAAGGGCGGGGACAGGCAAGACCGGAGCGCCUGCUGCAGGCCAUGGCGGCAGCGCUUUGUUCCCACGAGAAUGGAGGAACCGAGAUCGAAAGCGGAGCGCGAGGAAGGAGGAACCGAGAUCGAUAG
rnacentral:rRNA from 1 species